rnacentral:lncRNA from 1 species
UGGGAAGGCAUGUCGCUUCUCCUCUGUGGUACUUAGGUCUUUACCUGUCCAACAGGCUACCACCUGUACCGUAGUUAUCACACUCAAGGAUGUGUGGGGUUAACAGAUAACAUAGUGCCUGAAGGGACCUGGCACUGAAAAAGUCCCUGAAAAACAGUGAGUUUUGUUGUAUUGUAAAGCAAUGUAAUGUAUUUUCCCAUACUUUGAGUAUGCAAAUGGAAUUACUAUCAUCUUUCUUCUCUUUAAAAUAGGCCAGUCCAGCUUGGUGUGAUGGCACAUACCUGUGACACAGCCCUUGGGAGGCUGAGGCGGGAGGACUAAGGGGCCAAUCGAGCCAAAUAGUAAGAACCCUACCUCAAAAACAACACACACACAUUCUCGCUCUUACACACACACUGUUAUACACACUCUUACACAUGCACACGCACUCUUGCACACACUCACACCACUUGCCUCUGCAGCAUGGAGGAGGAAAUUUGGCUUUGACUUGCAAUUCACUGAAGAAAGGGAAACUUGACUUGGGGUUCCUGUUAGAACAUCUAGUUGUCACCUGUUGAAGCUGUUGCUGGUCCCCUAAAUGCCCUUCAGCCAGAGACCACAGGACACUGAAGAAUACUAUUCCAGAAGAUGGGAAAUAUGUGAAACCCCACAGGAAUGAGACAGGGCCAAACCACAGGUCCAGCAAGCACCCUUUGAGCCCCUGCUGUGGGCUCAAAGCCAGAGGGUUCCUAAAAUACAGCAAUUUCAUUUGAGAAAAAAAAAAACACACUUGCUGUGAAUACUGACUAAUUUUUUUCUGAUCUUACUAGGUACCCACUGUUCUAAAAGACAACAAACAAGAUGGUGAGAUUCUUGCCUUCAAGCGACUUGUCUUUCAAUGAUUUUUCUACACACCGAGCUUGGUUUCCUAACAAGGAUCUCCAGUGUUUAAGAUGGUACGUGACACACAAAAAGCAUCAGUACUUGUGUGGUGAAUACACGUGUCUAGGAAACCUCUUGUGACCCUCCUCUCAUCUUGUGCCUCUUAUUUUUCCCUGCUGUCGCUGUGGUAGAGCUCCUUGGCCUGGCAGCCCCAUAGGGCUUGUGUCCUUUCUCACGCCCCCUCUGGAUUCCUGCCAUGAAGCCUGGAAGACCGGCCAUGACACUGGAAGCUCUUGAAACACAAUAGUUCUUCUGAUGCUUACUGGACAGUGGGAGGUAGGCUCUAUACUGCUCUGGGUUGUGUUCCCAAUGGAGCGAGACAGUUGUCCCACGGUGACUGGGACAUGUCACUCUCUGACUCUAACCACUUUAUCUGAAAGCCAUCAAGCAGCUCCCUUUCCUUGAUUUCUCUGCCUGCAAGAAAGUGGCAGAGAUAGAGGGCCCAGGUUAGACUAGAACCUACAGACCAGUGGAGGAAAGCAAUAAUAAUUCAAAGACGUGAAAUUUAAAUAAUUAUAGGUGAAGUGGUACUUCAAAAAAUAACAUU